AUUGAACGCUGGCGGCAGGCCUAACACAUGCAAGUCGAGCGGUAGAGAGAAGCUUGCUUCUCUUGAGAGCGGCGGACGGGUGAGUAAUGCCUAGGAAUCUGCCUGGUAGUGGGGGAUAACGUUCGGAAACGGGCGCUAAUACCGCAUACGUCCUACGGGAGAAAGCAGGGGACCUUCGGGCCUUGCGCUAUCAGAUGAGCCUAGGUCGGAUUAGCUAGUUGGUGAGGUAAUGGCUCACCAAGGCGACGAUCCGUAACUGGUCUGAGAGGAUGAUCAGUCACACUGGAACUGAGACACGGUCCAGACUCCUACGGGAGGCAGCAGUGGGAAUAUUGGACAAUGGGCGAAAGCCUGAUCCAGCCAUGCCGCGUGUGUGAAGAAGGUCUUCGGAUUGUAAAGCACUUUAAGUUGGGAGGAAGGGCAGUUACCUAAUACGUGAUUGUUUUGACGUUACCGACAGAAUAAGCACCGGCUAACUCUGUGCCAGCAGCCGCGGUAA
rnacentral:rRNA from 1 species